rnacentral:rRNA from 1 species
GGAAUCAGGACUGUUACUUUGAAAAAAUUAGAGUCGUUUAAAGCAGGCUUUCGCUUGAAUACAUUAGCAUGGAAUAAUGAAAUAGGACGUUUGAUCCUAUUUUGUUGGUUUCUAGGAUUGACGUAAUGAUUAAUAGGGAUAGUUGGGGGCAUUAGUAUUCAAUUGUCAGAGGUGAAAUUCUUGGAUUUAUUGAAGACUAACUACUGCGAAAGCAUUUGCCAAGGAUGUUUUCAUUAAUCAAGAACGAAAGUUAGGGGAUCGAAGACGAUCAGAUACCGUCGUAGUCUUAACCAUAAACUAUGCCGACUAGGGAUCGGAUGAUGUUAAUUUUUUAAUGACUCAUUCGGCGCCUUACG